rnacentral:lncRNA from 1 species
AGUUUAUUAAAACAAGAAAUCAUCAAUACAUGGAAAAUACCAUUCAACUGCAUAUACAUGAUCAAUAUAUAACAUACAGUGGGUCUGGAAUUAUUGACACCCUUGAUAAAGAUAAUAAUGACUGUAUAAAAUACAUCAAUAUAUAAUAUACAGUAGGUCUGGAAUUAUUGACACCCUUCAUAAAUAUGAGCAAUUAUGACUAAAAUAAAUAAUUUAAAUACUGAGCUCUAUCAUCUGCUCAACAACAUGUGUCAAUUAUACACUGCUCAAAAAAAUAAAGGGAACACUAAAAUAACACAUCCUAGAUCUGAAUUAAUGAAGUAAUCUUAUUAAAUACUUUUUUCUUUACAUAGUUGAAUGUGCUGACAACAAAAUCACACAAAAAAAUUAUGGAAAUCCAAUUUAACAAACCAAUGGAGUUCUGGAUUUGGAGUCACACUCAAAAUUAAAGUGGAAAACCACACUACAGGCUGAUCCAACUUUGAUGUAAUGUCCUUAAAACAAGUCAAAAUGAGGCUCAGUAGUGUGUGUGGCCUCCACGUGCCUGUAUGACCUGCCUACAAUGCCUGGGCAUGCUCCUGAUGAGGUGGCAGAUGGUCUCCUGAGGGAUCUCCUCCUAGACCUGGACUAAAGCAUCCGCCAACUCCUGGACAGUCUGUGGUGCAACGUGGCGUUGGUGGAUGGAGCGAGACAUGAUGUCCCAGAUGUGCUCAAUUGGAUUCAGGUCUGGGGAACGGGCGGGCCAGUCCAUAGCAUCAAUGCCUUCCUCUUGCAGGAACUGCUGACACACUCCAGCCACAUGAGGUCUAGCAUUGUCUUGCAUUAGGAGGAACCCAGGGCCAACCGCACCAGCAUAUGGUCUCACAAGGGGUCUGAGGAUCUCAUCUCGGUACCUAAUGGCAGUCAGGCUACCUCUGGCGAGCACAUGGAGGGCUGUGCGGCCCCCAAAGAAAUGCCACCCCACACCAUGAAUGACCCACCGCCAAACCGGUCAUGCUGGAGGAUGUUGCAGGCAGCAGAACGUUCUCCACGCCGUCUCCAGACUAUCACGUCUGUCACGUGCUCAGUGUGAACCUGCUUUCAUCUGUGAAGAGCACAGGGUGCCAGUGGCAAAUUUGUCAAUCUUAGUGUUCUCUGGCAAAUGCCAAACGUCCUGCACGGUGUUGGGCUGUAAGCACAACCCCCACCUGUGGACGUCGGGCCCUCAUACCACCCUCAUGGAGUCUGUUUCUGACCGUUUGAGCAGACACAUGCACAUUUGUGGCCUGCUGGAGGUCAUUUUGCAGGGCUCUGGCAGUGCUCCUCCUGCUCCUCCUAGCACAAAGGCGGCGGUAGCGGUCCUGCUGCUGGGUUGUUGCCCUCCUACGGCCUCCUCCACGUCUCCUGAUGUACUGGCCUGUCUCCUGGUAGCGCCUCCAUGCUUUGGACACUACGCUGACAGACACAGCAAACCUUCUUGCCACAGCUCGCAUUGAUGUGUCAUCCUGGAUGAGCUGCACUACCUGAGCCACUUGUGUGGGUUGUAGACUCUGUCUCAUGCUACCAUUAGAGUGAAAGCACCGCCAGCAUUCAAAAGUGACCAAAACAUCAGCCAGGAAGCAUAGGAACUGAGAAGUGGUCUGUGGUUCCCACCUGCUGAACCACUCCUUUAUUGGGGGUGUCUUGCUAAUUGCCUAUAAUUUCCACCUGUUGUCUAUUCCAUUUGCACAACAGCAUGUGAAAUUUAUUGUCAAUCAGUGUUGCUUCCUAAGUGGACAGUUUGAUUUCACAGUGUGAUUGACUUGGAGUUGCAUUGUGUUGUUUAAGUGUUCCCUUUAUUUUUUGAGCAGUGUAUUAUUUUAUACCAAUACAAUUGAGCUGAGAAAAAUGUUUUGUUUAACACGUAAUAUUUAUUUUCCCAAAAAGGUAGGGGUCUAAAUUAUUGACCACCCUAAAGAUUCUAAUAAUUAAAGUAGUCAAAAGUAUUUGGUCCCAUUCAUGACUACAUUUAGAUUCUGAAGCUUUAGGGGUGUACUUUUUUUUUAAAGAAACAUUACAAAAAAUGUAUAUUUCUGAGCAAUUGUAUUAGUUUAAAAUAAUAUAUUUUACCAUUUAUUUUGAGCAUAGAAUCGGUCACUAUUUUAUUUAAUAUAGUCAUUAUUGCUAAUCUUCAACAAGGAUGUCAAUAAUUUGAUGCUGUGCCACCAGCCUCCUGUGGUCCUGUUGAUCUACCUGUGAUUAUCAGGUACUGGACAUAAGAGGGUCUGUAACAGAUUCUAACAGGAGACCUUAGUCCAUCGUUCCAUUCAAUUCAACACUAUCAAUUCCUGAGGGGGAUUAGAAAGACAUUGUUUAUGGGGAACACAUGUAUAGAAUAACCAGGAAAUGGAUAUAAACCCAUAAUACAAACAUGGGUAGUAAAACUUCAAAAAGUAAAGAACUAACUACUGGAAGUGGAUUAUAGAGUAGUGACCAACACGUUGAUCAGAGGACUCUGUCUCACCAAGAUUCAUAUCACUCAGUUAUAUACUCAGAAACUCAGCUUUGUUAGGAGGGAUAGGUCUCUAUAGAAAGUUACUGUCUCUCUAUAGUAACUCAGCUCUAUAGUUAUAGUCUCUCUAUAGUAACUCAGCUCUAUAGUUAUAGUCUCUCUAUAGUAACUCAGCUCUAU